rnacentral:rRNA from 1 species
UAUGUAGGUGGCAAGCGUUAUCCGGAAUUAUUGGGCGUAAAGAGCGCGCAGGUGGUUGAUUAAGUCUGAUGUGAAAGCCCACGGCUUAACCGUGGAGGGUCAUUGGAAACUGGUCGACUUGAGUGCAGAAGAGGGAAGUGGAAUUCCAUGUGUAGCGGUGAAAUGCGUAGAGAUAUGGAGGAACACCAGUGGCGAAGGCGGCUUCCUGGUCUGUAACUGACACUGAGGCGCGAAAGCGUGGGGAGCAAACAGGAUUAGA